UGGGGAAUAUUGGGCAAUGGGCGCAAGCCUGACCCAGCGACGCCGCGUGGGUGAUGAAGGCCUUCGGGUCGUAAAGCCCUGUCGGGUGGAAAGAACGGUCAUGCUGCAAAUAGCGGCGUGACGUGACGGUACCACCGAAGGAAGCACCGGCCAAUUCCGUGCCAGCAGCCGCGGUAAGACGGAAGGUGCAAGCGUUGCUCGGAAUCAUUGGGCGUAAAGGGUGCGUAGGCGGCUCGGUCAGUCUGGUGUGAAAGCCCCGGGCUUAGCCCGGGAAGGGCGCUAGAAACUGCCGAGCUGGAGUGCCGGAGGGGAGAGUGGAAUUCCUGGUGUAGCGGUGAAAUGCGUAGAGAUCAGGAGGAAUACCGGUGGCGAAAGCGACUCUCUGGACGGCAACUGACGCUGAGGCACGAAAGCGUGGGGAGCAAACAG
rnacentral:rRNA from 1 species